GGGCUCGUAGCUCAGCCUGGUAGAGCACCUGGCUUUUAACCAGGUCGUCGCGCGUUCGAAUCGCGUCGGGCCCA
rnacentral:tRNA from 1 species